CUGGGGGGUCCCCAGACCCCCACUUUGAGAAUCACUGAACUACCAUACAGAAUUUGGGAGCCAUAAAUGUCUGCACAAAUUGCAUGGUAUUCAGUGAUU